rnacentral:rRNA from 1 species
CCUACGGGAGGCAGCAGUGAGGAAUAUUGGUCAAUGGACGAGAGUCUGAACCAGCCAAGUAGCGUGAAGGAUGACUGCCCUAUGGUUUGUAAACUUCUUUUAUAAGGGCAUAACACGAGGCACGUGUGCCUUUUUGCAUGUACUUUAUGAAUAAGGAUCGGCUAACUCCGUGCCAGCAGCCGCGGUAAUACGUAGGUGUCAAGCGUUGUCCGGAAUUACUGGGUGUAAAGGGAGCGUAGGCGGGAAGCCAAGUCAGCUGUGAAAACUACGGGCUUAACCUGUGGACUGCAGUUGAAAUUGGCGUUCUUGAGUGAAGUAGAGGUAGGCGGAAUUCCGAGUGUAGCGGUGAAAUGCGUAGAUAUUCGGAGGAACACCAGUGGCGAAGGCGGCCAGCUGGGCUGUAACUGACGCUGAGGCUCGAAAGUGUGGGGAGCAAACAGGAUUAGAUACCCUAGUAGUC